GAUGAACGCUGGCGGCGUGCCUAAUACAUGCAAGUCGAGCGAACAGACUAGGAGCUUGCUCCUCUGACGUUAGCGGCGGACGGGUGAGUAACACGUGGAUAACCUACCUAUAAGACUGGGAUAACUUCGGGAAACCGGAGCUAAUACCGGAUAAUAUAUUGAACCGCAUGGUUCAAUAGUGAAAGACGGUUUUGCUGUCACUUAUAGAUGGAUCCGCGCCGCAUUAGCUAGUUGGUAAGGUAACGGCUUACCAAGGCAACGAUGCGUAGCCGACCUGAGAGGGUGAUCGGCCACACUGGAACUGAGACACGGUCCAGACUCCUACGGGAGGCAGCAGUAGGGAAUCUUCCGCAAUGGGCGAAAGCCUGACGGAGAAACGCAGCGUGAGUGAUGAAGGUCUUCGGAUCGUAAAACUCUGUUAUUAGGGAAGAACAAAUGUGUAAGUAACUAUGCACGUCUUGACGGUACCUAAUCAGAAAGCCACGGCUAACUACGUG
rnacentral:rRNA from 1 species